AUUGAACGCUGGCGGCAGGCCUAACACAUGCAAGUCGAGCGAGCGGCGGACGGGUGAGUAAUGUAUGGGGAACUGCCCGAUAGAGGGGGAUAACUACUGGAAACGGUGGCUAAUACCGCAUACCAUCGGAUGUGCCCAUAUGGGAUUAGCUAGUAGGUGGGGUAAAGGCUCACCUAGGCGACGAUCCCUAGCUGGUCUGAGAGGAGGAACAGCCACACUGGGACGGAGACACGGGCCAGCCGCAUGCGGGAGGCAGCAGGGGGGAAUAUUGCACAAUGGGCGCAAGCCUGAUGCAGCCACGCCGGGGGUAUGAAGAAGGCCUUGGGGUUGUAAAGUACUGUCAGCGGGGAGGCGUUACCCGCAGAAGAAGCCCCGGCUAACUCCGUGCCAGCAGCCGCGGUAAUUC
rnacentral:rRNA from 1 species